GAAGAGCAUUUGGUGGAUGCCUUGGUACAGAGAGGCGAUGAAAGACGUG
rnacentral:rRNA from 1 species